rnacentral:rRNA from 1 species
UACGGAGGGUGCAAGCGUUGUCCGGAUUUAUUGGGUUUAAAGGGUGCGUAGGCGGGAUAUUAAGUCAGUGGUGAAAGCCUUCAGCUCAACUGAAGGACUGCCAAUGAUACUGGUAUUCUGGAGUACAGACGAGGUAGGCGGAAUUUAUGGUGUAGCGGUGAAAUGCAUAGAUACCAUAAAGAACACCGAUAGCGAAGGCAGCUUACCAGGCUGUAACUGACGCUGAGGCAAGAAAGCGUGGGGAGCGAACAGG